rnacentral:ncRNA from 2 species
UGAUGGUUAUAGGGAGAGAUCGCUAAAUGCGGCGCCGAAGGAGCAAGAACUUUGUCAAACUCUCAGGCAAAAAGGACCGUAACCGGAC